rnacentral:rRNA from 1 species
UGAACGCUGGCGGCGUGCCUACUACAUGCACAUCGAGCGACCGGACGAGAAGCUUGCUUUUCUGAUGUUAGCGGCGGACGGGUGAGUAACACGUGGAUAACCUACCUAUAAGACUGGGAUAACUUCGGGAAACCGGAGCUAAUACCGGAUAAUAUUUUGAACCGCAUGGUUCAAAAGUGAAAGACGGUCUUGCUGUCACUUAUAGAUGGAUCCGCGCUGCAUUAGCUAGCUGGUAAGGUAACGGCUUACCAAGGCAACGAUGCAUAGCCGACCUGAGAGGGUGAUCGGCCACACUGGAACUGAGACACGGUCCAGACUCCUACGGGAGGCAGCAGUAGGGAAUCUUCCGCAAUGGGCGAAAGCCUGACGGAGCAACGCCGCGUGAGUGAUGAAGGUCUUCGGAUCGUAAAACUCUGUUAUUAGGGAAGAACAUAUGUGUAAGUAACUGUGCACAUCUUGACGGUACCUAAUCAGAAAGCCACGGCUAACUACGUG